CUUUUUUUUGGUUAGAUUUAAGGUACCUUUUAUGAUAUGGAACACAGGUAUGACACUGUUAAUGGGGACAAGAAUAUGAGACUAGACAGAUCAUGGGCCUUAGAAGAAAACCAACUUCUAUUAUUAUAUAUUAAAUUAAAAUGGCAAUAAGACAUCUCCUAGUUGUACAUAUUGCUGUACCCAUAAAUCAUUGCAUUGCUCAACCCUCAUCAGGAAAACUUCUUCUUAGAGUACAUGGUAAAGCAUAGAGAUCCAUACUGGAUUAUGUGAAGAGAGUGAAUGACUUCAGAGCACUUAGCCAUAAAUGGUUUGUAUUUAACGCACUUUACCCCUCAACACUCGG
rnacentral:lncRNA from 1 species